rnacentral:lncRNA from 1 species
UUAAGUGCUAGUCGGACCGCGAUUCUGGACCUAACUAGUUAUUGAAAAUCAAAGAUUAAGUGAGAAAUACGCAGAAUCUAGUUUUUAUAUAUUUUUAAUUAUAAAUAUAUUAAUAUAUGUGAAACUUAAACGAUUAAACAACAUAGGCCAGUGGUACAUGAGGCAUUUUUGCGUCAAGAGAUAUGGGGUCCGAUCCUACUCUGAUGCAACUUUUCUCUAUUUCUCCACGAAAACUGUUAUAUAAUAUCAUAUACACGAUAGUUUUAAUUGGUUUACCC